rnacentral:lncRNA from 1 species
GAAGCAAGGUGAGAUUUUCCAAAUACCCAACAUAAUUACUAAUUAUUCUUUAAUCUAUUAUUACAACUAUUUCUGGGUAACGGAUUUUCAAUGGCUGUUCAUAUCCUCCCGGGGUUUUACGGGAGAGGGAUAUUUUUUUUAGUUGUAGUUUCUAUUUUGUGGCUAUCGUGGCCACCAGCAUCAUCAUUUAUAAUUUUAU